GGGAUUGUGGUGGAAUAGGUAGACACAACAGGUUUAAGCCCUGUUGCUUGUAUAAGCGUGGGGGUUCAAGUCCCCCCAAUCCCA
rnacentral:tRNA from 1 species